GAUCAAAACUCUGAUUUAUAAAAAUCGGUCCCCUUGGGAUGAUUUUAUACCUAAUCGGGAGGGAGAGGAACAAAUUAAGGAGAGAAAUUGUGUCGGCCGAGGGGAGGACAAGGAAGCAGAGGGGGAGCUCGCGAGGAGGGGGGGAGGGACAAGACAAGCACGCUCCUUCUUUCGUCGCCCUGAGGCGUCCUGCGCGGCCCGGGGGCGUCCUGCGCGGCCGCCGGCGGAGGUGGAGGCGACUAGCGGCGGCCGAGCCGGAUGGCGGCGCGGAGGCGGAGGCGGAUGGGCUAAUUCUAGGUAGGCGGUAUACGUACCUGCCGCGGGGCAAGCUAAAGAACAGAGUUUGCCUUAUCAGACCACGACGACGCCUCCGGUACCUGCCGCUUCCCACCCCGAACUGCGGCGGAGUAGAGGCCGCACUAUCAAGGCCGCCGGCGCAAGGCUCCCGGCCCUUGCAGCGGCGUGGCGCGUACCUGGACCCCUUGGAACUGGAGUUGCGGCUGACGCCGCGGCGGAGCAUGGGGCUGUACUGGUACAUGUGCGUAUAGGAAGUUGCCCUGUCGCCGAGGCCAGUUCCAAAGGGGGGUGUCUCCCGUUCUAGUCUACCGAACGGCGACGCUCCAGCAGGUGGAGCGUUCCAGACAGGCAUCGCUCCCGUGGUCCACGAGCGCCGUUCCGGCAGCACCACGGCCCCCCUCCACUACGACGACGGUACGCUCAACGACGUGCAGCACCCCCAAGUUUACCGCGCUCGUCGUCGUCCGUCGGCGUCCAUCGCGGCUAAGGCCACCUACUACUACUGCCGUAGCUUCUUCUGCUUCUACUUCUACUCUUGUGCGACUUGGUCGUAUCCUUCUUCGGUUUUUCGUUCCGAUUAACCUGGCUGCUUUUAUGCAUGUAAAACACACUCAAUCGAACACUCCUCUAUCUCCUACCGUUAAAAUGACGAUUUCAAACCUGGUCAGUCCCAAUGUUUUUAUAAUACCUCUUUAUAAUAGUUUUCUGUUUUAACACCGUAGAUCCCUCCCUUCACUUCUUGUUUUAGGUCUUGGACUUCCCACACAUGUUACUAACCCAUACCAACGUCGUUGUUUGGCCUACGCCGGCGCCGCUUGUACCUCUUCAAUGCCGUUGAUGUCGAACCACCCUCUCCCUCUAGUUCUCAUCUGGUUUAGAGUUCUUUAAAUCUUUCCCAUUGGGACUCAUGUAACCUGACAACGUACUCCAUCGACACCUACCAUGAAGACGAAUGCAUGGACCCGCUGGUCUCUAGGACUUAAGUCUCAACACGUACUUUCCAAUUCUUUACGAGUCACCGUAGGUACCAAGUUACUGUCGUAACCCCGUUAUCUACCCUGAGUACACGUUCAACACCACGGUGGAUGGUUCUAAGGCGUCAUGAAUUUGUCUGUACCGAUGACAUCAGUCUUACAAUACCAACAUACACUAAAGUUGUACUCUAAGUGAAAGCAAGAACGGCCCACCGGACCUAGCCAAGUACUAUACUCCGGGAAGUUCCUACGGGAAUCGGCCAAAUCAGUGUUCAAAGGAGUAGGUGGAGGUCUUUAAAAAAUAGAACAACUGAGCCCGAUGGGGUUGUUCCGCCUAAUAGAACGUGGUAUAUCCCCCGUCUUCAUGGUAAAGGUUCUCAAGGUAGUUCCGUGGUACGGCUCUCCAUACAACCGUACAUGUACCUGAACCGUGUAGUUUUCGUGGUUCAACCUCAGUACCGCCUCUUCAAGGUCCGUAGUCUAAUUCCGGGAUAUCUGAAAAACUACAAAAUUGUAAAUAAUUUCAAUGUUUUAACUUAUAGAUUCCGGUGACCGUGUAGCCCUAAAAGUGAUCGUUAGGUUACUAGGGUUUUUACAGUUGUAACAUCAAGUAUACUUCUUUACUGCUGGUUUUAUGCUUUCACGAGGGCUUCAGAUCUUACUUGCUACUGUACACCAAGUACACGAGCGCGUGUAUGGCCGCGAGCAUGAUCUCCGGCUGCGACGUCAUUAAGCCGGUAUUGAAUGGGCUAAAACGAGGUUAAAAUAGAGUCAAACAAGGAUGCCCUAGGAACUGCUGAUUCCGAACAAAACCCUAUCCUAAAUUGAGGGGAUCUUGGGAACCUACUUUCCUCCUCUACGCUGUAGGUGCCUCCUCUGGGCUCCUCCGGAGGAUAUUUAGGUGGAGGUUGGGAUCGGUGGCCCUUAGUCCUAGAAGUAGGAGGUGUUAUCAAAGUAGACGGUGAAGGUGUGGAAGUAUCGUUGUUGUGGUAGUAUCCCUCUCCCGGUUCGGUUCUUCCUCCUCUCCUCUGCGGAGGGUACAGGAAGCCAGCCACGGUAGAGGUAGUUGUGGCGGCGGUACGAGGAGAGGUGGAGAUUGUACUACAACCGAACAUUGAACAGAGAUGGGAGAUACAUGUGGUAACUAUUGGG
rnacentral:rRNA from 1 species